AAAUAUCCUAUUAUAUACUAUUAGACGGAUAGCUUGGUUUUGGUAUAAACGAAAGACGUGGCAAGCUGCGAUAAGCCUCGGGGAGUUGCAUGCAAACUUUGAUCCGAGGAUUUCUGAUUGUCCAGAGAUGGACGAGUACGCUGGGAAUUGAAACAUCUUAGUACCGGCAGGAGAAGAAAACAAUAGUGAUACCCUUAUUAGCAGAGAGCGAAAAGGGCAUAGGGCAAACCGAAUCUGCUUUUGAAAGAAAGUUAGAGAUGUGGUGAAGGUAAAUGGCUAAGUUGCUGAGUUGAAGUUGCCUGGAAUGGCAUACUAUAGAAGGUGAUAGUCCUGUAAACUAAAGCAAUAUGUCGUUCUUCGACGAGUAGGGCGUCCUGGAUUGGGCGUCUGAAUAUGGCGGGAUUAACCGCUAACCCUAAACAUAACCAAAGUCCGAUAGUGAACUAGUACCGCGAGGGAAAGCUGAAAAGUACUCUUAACAGAGGGUUAAAAGACUUGAAAUCUAAUAGUUACAGUUGGCUACUGCUUUUACCUACUUUUGUAGAAAAGGUUGUAGCGUACGUUUAGAAAAACGGGCCAGGGAGUUUCUCUUUGUGGCAAGGCUAAUCAACAAUGUUGAGUAACCAAAGCGAAAGCAAGUAUGAAAGUGCGUUGAGUCACAAAGUUAAGACCUGAAGCUAGAUGAUCUAUAUAUGAGCACGGUGAAGUCUUCCGAAAGGAGGAUGG
rnacentral:rRNA from 1 species